GACAGAGGGUGCAAACGUUGUUCGGAAUUACUGGGCGUAAAGCGCGUGUAGGCUGUUCCGCAAGUCGGAUGUGAAAGCCCUGGGCUCAACCUAGGAAGUGCACUCGAAACUGCGGAACUGGAGUCCUGGAGAGGAAGGCGGAAUUCUCGGUGUAGAGGUGAAAUUCGUAGAUAUCGAGAGGAACACCGGUGGCGAAGGCGGCCUUCUGGACAGUGACUGACGCUGAGACGCGAAAGCGUGGGGAGCAAACAGG
rnacentral:rRNA from 1 species